CCGGGGAGGCGGCGUGCCGGGCGGGGAGGGCGAGAAUAAAGGCGAUGUUAGAAGGCCGGCGAACGAGAGAGAAGUCUCCUUUGUCACAUUCCAAGUGAACCCAAAGCUCAGCAGAAUCGCUGGAGCUGCAGCUCUGGCCCCAUCCGACUCCCAACCGCCCAGCCGCCAUCAGAAUUGCAGUUGACCCCAGGAGCCAAAAGUAGUUGAAAGGCACAGCUAGCAACGAUUCACUUCCAUGAAUUGGACUCCCUGUUGCUCGUGGUAUUAACUCCGGUUUCAGGCACAACCGUUUCAAUUAAGACUCACACACUUCAAAAUACCUCUGAACAGCGGGGCACUGAUUGAAUUCAAGGUGCCAGGAAGCCAAAUAGAAAAAUAAUAGUAAAACCACUGGUCUGUUUAUAUUGUAGUUAAAAGCUCUGACAAAUGACUAUUACACCUUCUUUAACAUUCUGUUCUAUUCCAAAUUAAUCUGAAAUAAAUACAGUAAUAUACUCUGUUUUUAACUGACCUCAGUAGGUAUGUGUGUCCAAUCUGGUCCAAGUGCUCUUUUCUUUUUUUAAAGAUUUUA